rnacentral:rRNA from 1 species
AUUGAACGCUGGCGGCAGGCCUAACACAUGCAAGUCGAGCGGAUGAUGGGAGCUUGCUCCUUGAUUCAGCGGCGGACGGGUGAGUAAUGCCUAGGAAUCUGCCUGGUAGUGGGGGACAACGUUUCGAAAGGAACGCUAAUACCGCAUAUGUCCUACGGGAGAAAGCAGGGGACCUUCGGGCCUUGCGCUAUCAGAUGAGCCUAGGUCGGAUUAGCUUGUUGGUGAGGUAAUGGCUCACCAAGGCGACGAUCCGUAACUGGUCUGAGAGGAUGAUCAGUCACACUGGAACUGAGACACGGUCCAGACUCCUACGGGAGGCAGCAGUGGGGAAUAUUGGACAAUGGGCGAAAGCCUGAUCCAGCCAUGCCGCGUGUGUGAAGAAGGUCUUCGGAUUGUAAAGCACUUUAGGUUGGGAGGAAGGGUUGUAGAUUAAUACUCUGCAAUUUUGACGUUACCGACAGAAUAAGCACCGGCUAACUCUGUGCCAGCAGCCGCCGCAGUAA